rnacentral:rRNA from 1 species
CCUACGGGAGGCAGCAGGGAGGAAUAGUGGUCAAUGGGCGCGAGCCUGAACCAGCCAAGUCGCGGGAGGGAAGACGGUCCUAGGGAGGGUAAACCUCUUUUGUCGGGGAGCAAAAGACGCCACGCGUGGCGUUCCGAGAGUACCCGAAGAAAAAGCAUCGGCUAACUCCGUGUCAGCAGCCGCGGUAAUACGGAGGAUGCGAGCGUUAUCCGGAUUUAUUGGGUUGAAAGGGUGCGCAGGCGGAACAUCAAGUCAGCGGUAAAAUUGAGAGGCUCAACCUCUACGAGCCGUUGAAACUGGUUUUCUUGAGUGCGUGAGAGGUAUGCGGAAUGCGUGGUGUAGCGGUGAAAUGCAUAGAUAUCACGCAGAACUCCGAUUGCGAAGGCAGCAUACCGGCGCUCAACUGACGCUCAUGCACGAAAGUGUGGGUAUCGAACAGGAUUAGAUACCCGGGUAGUC